UACGUAGGGUGCAAGCGUUGUCCGGAAUUAUUGGGCGUAAAGAGCUCGUAGGCGGCCAGUUGCGUCCGCUGUGAAAUCCCGGGGCUUAACCCCGGGCGUGCAGUGGAUACGGGCUGGCUAGAGGCAGGCAGGGGAGAACGGAAUUCCCGGUGUAGCAGUGAAAUGCGCAGAUAUCGGGAGGAACACCGGUGGCGAAGGCGGUCUGCUGGGGCAGUUGCUGACACUGAGGCGCGACAGCGUGGGGAGCAAACAGG
rnacentral:rRNA from 1 species